rnacentral:rRNA from 1 species
GACGAACGCUGGCGGCGUGCUUAACACAUGCAAGUCGAACGGUAAAGCGCCUUCCUUUUUGGUGGGUGUGGAUGAGUGGCGAACGGGUGAGUAACACGUGAGUAACCUGCCCCCUUCUUCUGGAUAACCGCAUGAAAGUGUGGCUAAUACGGGAUAUUCUGUAUCUGUCGCAUGAUGGGUCUGGGAAAGAUUUCGUUUCGGUGUGGGAUGGGCUCGCGGCCUAUCAGCUGGUUGGUGGGGUGAUGGCCUAGCAAGGCGGUGACGGGUGGCCGGCCGGGGAGGGUGGGCGGCACCGGAGGGGAUGAGACACGGCCACGACUCCGAGGGGAGGCAGUGGGGGGGAAUAUUGCACAGGGGGAGCAAGCAUGAUGCAGCGACGCCGCGGGAGGGAUGGAGGCCUUCGGGUUGUGAACCUCUUUCGCCAGUGAAGCAGGCCUGCCUAGUUUGUGGGUGUGUUGACGGUAGCUGGAGAAGAAGCGCCGGCUAACUACGUG